CUCGGGACAAGGCGCCUUCUUCAAACUGCACAUUUUUAUUGCGAGACAGUCAGUGGAGCACAGUGAGUGAGUAAGGGGGGUGUGUUUCUCUUUCUGUUGUACAGGAGAAAGGGCUGCAUUCCUUCUGAUUUCUUCUCUUCAAAGAGAGCGAGAGGGGCGUCCGUGCCGUUCAUACGUCGAAGAGAAUGAGCUCAGGAAGAAUGGUGCAGAAGGCGAGCCUUUCCAGCCAAGGGCCUCCAACCCCAAGCUUUGCAAAGAGGAAGAAGGUGCAGGAGACAUCCGAUAUUAGGAGUCCGACCGACAGCAUGAUGUCUCCAUGCAGCCGCACACUCAUGAGAAAAGCUUCCAAGGAUGUAGCAACACUUCCACAGGCUCCUUUGUUUACCAUGGAAGAUAAGGAGAACAAUCCCUCACAAAUUCCUAAUGUCUGAGGAAUGAUGGUAGCAGGAAACUGAGAAAUGCCAUCGUCUGCAGUAGCUAGUGCACAGUUAAGCUGCUUUUUAUAGUAUGUACCCUAUUAAUCCAGAGGGCUGCAGCUGCUGGUGUGAGGGCCAUGUGCACUGAGCAAUGCCUUCCUUGCGCUGUGUGUGUAAUAAUUGCACUGGAAUAGGUUUUAAUGCAAAAUGCAAUGAGACUUUGAACCUGACUGCAAAAGGCUCCUGUUUAACGCUUGGCACUCUUUCAUGGGGUGGUACGCAACUGGUGAUCGGUUCUUAAAUUACAAUCAUUUAAGGCAGGUGUUGGAAUGUAGAUGCACAGUUAUAGUAAAUGAAAAGUCCUUUAUGAAUGUAUAUGCAGCGCUCUGAUUGCGAUAUAUAAUGACUCCCAUUCAGCGUACACUGCGUAGUCUUCUUUUUGUGCAUGUACUUUACUUAACUCACUUGGGUGGCUUGUGAAUGUUGUGUAUUAUAUGGUAUGUAACUGCUCUGUUCAAGGCACAGUGUCCAUCUCUAGUUUUCUGGGUAUUGAAUGACAGCUCAAUCCAUACGUUAAAUAUGGCCUUAAAAAUAAUGUUAAGAAGCCUAUAUAUACUGCUUAACCGCUGUUUCUCUUUUUUGCACAACUUUUGUUUUGGUUGGAAACAAAGUGUCACAUUGGA
rnacentral:lncRNA from 1 species